rnacentral:misc_RNA from 1 species
AGACCAUGUUCCCGAGGUAUCAAUCACCGCGUCGACGCGCAACACCUCAGGGCCCUUUCCGUUCUGAUAACGGAUUUCGAAGGGCGCGAGGUCGCGGCCCUUGGUCUUGGCCUUAUCGAAGCCGAAGCGGCUGGNNNNNNNGUGCGGAUCAAGUCCGCAAGUGGCGUGCGAGUCGCGAGCGGGUCGAGAUACUGCUCGAGCAGCUCGGCACCGGUUGGGUAGACGUGCGGAUCCGGAGAAUUCCAGC